UUAACAACAUAAUUAUGGUCACCUAUCGGU
rnacentral:sRNA from 1 species